UACGUAGGGCGCAAGCGUUGUCCGGAAUUAUUGGGCGUAAAGAGCUCGUAGGCGGCUUGUCACGUCGGGUGUGAAAGCCCGGGGCUUAACCCCGGGUCUGCAUUCGAUACGGGCAGGCUAGAGUGUGGUAGGGGAGAUCGGAAUUCCUGGUGUAGCGGUGAAAUGCGCAGAUAUCAGGAGGAACACCGGUGGCGAAGGCGGCUCUCUGGGCCAUUACUGACGCUGAGGAGCGAAAGCCAGGGGAGCGAACGGG
rnacentral:rRNA from 1 species